rnacentral:rRNA from 1 species
AGAGUUUGAUCUUGGCUCAGAUUGAACGCUGGCGGUAUGCUUAACACAUGCAAGUCGAACGGAAACGAUACUAGCUUGCUAGUAGGCGUCGAGUGGCGGACGGNUGAGUAACGCGUAGGAAUCUACCUGAUAGUGGGGGAUAGCCCGAAGAAAUUCGGAUUAAUACCGCAUAAUCUAUUCGUAGUAAAGUGGGGGACUUUCGAGCCUCACGCUAUCAGAUGAGCCUGCGUAAGAUUAGCUAGUUGGUAGGGUAAAAGCCUACCAAGGNUACGAUCUUUAGCUGGUCUGANAGGAUGAUCAGCCACAUCGGGACUGANACACGGCCCGAACUCCUACGGGAGGCAGCANUGGGGAAUAUUGGACAAUGGGGGCAACCCUGAUCCAGCAAUACCGCGUGUGUGAAGAAGGCCUGANGGUUGUAAAGCACUUUCAAUUGUGAAGAAAAGUUAACGGUUAAUAACCGUUAACCUUGACGUUAACUUUAGAAGAAGCACCGGCUAACUCCGUGCCAGCAGCCGCGGUAAUACGGAGGGUGCAAGCGUUAAUCGGAAUUACUGGGCGUAAAGCGUGCGUAGGCGGUUUUAUUAAGUCANAUGUGAAANCCNCGGGCUUAACCUGGGANCUGCAUUUNAAACUGGUCAACUAGAGUAUGGUAGAGGAAAGUGGAAUUUCUGGUGUAGCGGUGAAAUGCGUANAUAUCANAGGAACAUCAAUGG